rnacentral:rRNA from 1 species
AGCGAACGCUGGCGGCAGGCCUAACACAUGCAAGUCGAACGAAGUCUUCGGACUUAGUGGCGGACGGGUGAGUAACGCGUGGGAACGCGCCUUUAGGUUCGGAAUAACUCAGGGAAACUUGUGCUAAUACCGAAUGUGCCCUUCGGGGGAAAGAUUUCGCGCCUUUAGAGCGGCCCGCGUCUGAUUAGCGAGUUGGGGAGGUAAAGGCUCACCAAGGCGACGAUCAGUAGCUGGUCUGAGAGGAUGAUCAGCCACAUUGGGACUGAGACACGGCCCAAACUCCUACGGGAGGCAGCAGUGGGGAAUAUUGCGCAAUGGGCGAAAGCCUGACGCAGCCAUGCCGCGUGAGUGAUGAAGGUCUUAGGAUUGUAAAAUUCUUUCACCGGGGACGAUAAUGACGGUACCCGGAGAAGAAGCCCCGGCUAACUUCGUGCCAGCAGCCGCGGUAA